AUGAACGCUAGCGACAGGCCUAACACAUGCAAGUCGAGGGGCAGCACAAGGAGCAAUCUGAGGUGGCGACCGGCGCACGGGUGAGUAACACGUAUGCAACCUGCCUGUAAGCGGGGAAUAACCCGUUGAAAGACGGACUAAUACCGCAUAAUACUAAAUUACUGCAUGGUAAUUUAUUUAAACAUUUAUGGCUUACAGAUGGGCAUGCGCAUGAUUAGCUAGUUGGAGAGGUAACGGCUCCCCAAGGCAACGAUCAUUAGGGGUUCUGAGAGGAAGGUCCCCCACACUGGUGCUGAGACACGGACCAGACUCCUACGGGAGGCAGCAGUGAGGAAUAUUGGUCAAUGGACGAGAGUCUGAACCAGCCAAGUCGCGUGCAGGAAGAAUGUCCUUAAUGGAUUGUAAACUGCUUUUGCAGGGGAAUAAAGCGCAUCACGUGUGAUGUUUUGUAUGUACUCUGCGAAUAAGGAUCGGCUAACUCCGUGCCAGCAGCAGC
rnacentral:rRNA from 1 species